AUAUGCCACAACUAUAUAUUAAAAAAACCCUAGUUUAUAAUCGAUUUUCCAGUCUCCCACCACCGUAGUCUUCCUUUUGCCGACACCAUCUCUAUCACUUCUUCACCCGUUGCUCAUGAAGUGUUCCUUGUUGAGAGAUUCUGAAGCUUCAGUUUCAGUUUUAUGUUAUGGAUCGAAGGUGACAGAACUCGUCGGGACAGAUAUAUAUAUGGUUAACGGAUAUCAAGCUUCACCGGAUGGAGAGAUCGAACGUCGUACGCCGUCGCCUCACCACUUUGUCGAAAACCCUAAAUGUAGAUGGGUUUGGGUUGUAAUUUUAGUUGGACUUGUUAUAAAUUUUUUUUAGGUCUGUAAAUAAAUUUGAGCCCAUUAAUUUUUUUUUUGGUCUUA